rnacentral:rRNA from 1 species
UACGGAGGGAGCUAGCGUUAUUCGGAAUUACUGGGCGUAAAGCGCACGUAGGCGGCUUUGUAAGUUAGAGGUGGAAGCCUGGAGCUCAACUCCAGAAUUGCCUUUAAGACUGCAUCGCUUGAAUCCAGGAGAGGUGAGUGGAAUUCCGAGUGUAGAGGUGAAAUUCGUAGAUAUUCGGAAGAACACCAGUGGCGAAGGCGACUUACUGGACACAUAUUGACGCUGAGGUGCGAAAGCGUGGGGAGCAAACAGG